rnacentral:rRNA from 1 species
UUGGAGGGCAAGUCUGGUGCCAGCAGCCGCGGUAAUUCCAGCUCCAAUAGCGUAUAUUAAAGUUGUUGCAGUUAAAAAGCUCGUAGUUGAAUUUCGGGGUCAGUAGGUUGGUCGUGCCAAUGGUGUGUACUGGCUUUACUGAUUCCUCCUUCUUGAAGAACUGUAAUGUCAUUAAUUUGGUGUUGCAGGGAAACAGGACUGUUACUUUGAAAAAAUUAGAGUGUUUAAAGCAGGCUAACGCUUGAAUACAUUAGCAUGGAAUAAUGAAAUAGGACGUUCGAUCCUAUUUUGUUGGUUUCUAGGAUUGACGUAAUGAUUAAUAGGGAUAGAUGGGGGCAUUAGUAUUCAAUUGUCAGAGGUGAAAUUCUUGGAUUUAUUGAAGACUAACUACUGCGAAAGCAUUUGCCAAGGAUGUUUUCAUUAAUCAAGAACGAAAGUUAGGGGAUCGAAGACGAUCAGAUACCGUCGUAGUCUUAACCAUAAACUAUGCCGACUAGGGAUCGGAUGAUGUUAAUUUUUUAAUGACUCAUUCGGCGCCUUACGGGAAAC